UACGUAGGGUGCGAGCGUUAAUCGGAAUUACUGGGCGUAAAGCGUGCGCAGGCGGUUCGUUGUGUCUGUGGUGAAAGCCCCGGGCUUAACCUGGGAAUGGCCAUGGAAACUGGCGAGCUGGAGUGUGGCAGAGGGGGGUGGAAUUCCGCGUGUAGCAGUGAAAUGCGUAGAGGUGCGGAGGAACACCGAUGGCGAAGGCAGCCCCCUGGGUUGACACUGACGCUCAGGCACGAAAGCGCGGGGAGCAAACAGG
rnacentral:rRNA from 1 species